AUGGAUAAGCCAGAUAAGAGGAAUGCUUACCAUAAGACGAAACAUGGUUUCAUUUUUGCUAUGAUCUAUAAUCAAGCAAGUCACACAUAUUGUGAUUGUGCAAAUUGGAGAGAAUUAUGCAAGGUUUGCGGAUUUGAGGAGGGUAUGAGAAUAACCUUCGAUAUUGGCGUUCCUCAAUAUGAUCCAAUCACUGGUCCUCAACAUGAUAAAGACAUUUGGGUGGAUCUGGACAUAAUUCUAGUUCUAUCUCCAUCUUAUUUUCUAUCUUCAAGAAAUACACGGAAGAUAGUAGACGAGACCUAUUACACUACUGGCUCAGAGCUAACUUGA
rnacentral:rRNA from 1 species